rnacentral:rRNA from 1 species
UGGGGAAUAUUGGACAAUGGGCGAAAGCCUGAUCCAGCCAUGCCGCGUGUGUGAAGAAGGUCUUCGGAUUGUAAAGCACUUUAAGCGAGGAGGAGGGUACUGGUAUUAAUACUACCAGGUACUGGACGUUACUCGCAGAAUAAGCACCGGCUAACUCUGUGCCAGCAGCCGCGGUAAUACAGAGGGUGCGAGCGUUAAUCGGAUUUACUGGGCGUAAAGCGUGCGUAGGCGGCUAAUUGAGUCGGAUGUGAAAUCCCCGAGCUUAACUUUGGAAUUGCAUUCGAUACUGGUUAGCUAGAGUGUGGGAGAGGAUGGUAGAAUUCCAGGUGUAGCGGUGAAAUGCGUAGAGAUCUGGAGGAAUACCGAUGGCGAAGGCAGCCAUCUGGCCUAACACUGACGCUGAGGUACGAAAGCAUGGGGAGCAAACAGG